CCUACGGGUGGCUGCAGUGGGGAAUAUUGGACAAUGGGCGAAAGCCUGAUCCAGCCAUGCCGCGUGUGUGAAGAAGGCCUUCGGGUUGUAAAGCACUUUCAGUGGGGAAGAAAGCCUUGGGGCUAAUACCCUCGAUGAAGGACAUCACCCACAGAAGAAGCACCGGCUAACUCCGUGCCAGCAGCCGCGGUAAUACGGAGGGUGCGAGCGUUAAUCGGAAUUACUGGGCGUAAAGCGCGCGUAGGCGGUCUGAUAAGCCGGUUGUGAAAGCCCCGGGCUCAACCUGGGAACGGCAUCCGGAACUGUCAGGCUAGAGUGCAGGAGAGGAAGGUAGAAUUCCCGGUGUAGCGGUGAAAUGCGUAGAGAUCGGGAGGAAUACCAGUGGCGAAGGCGGCCUUCUGGACUGACACUGACGCUGAGGUGCGAAAGCGUGGGUAGCAAACAGGAUUAGAUACCCUUGUAGUC
rnacentral:rRNA from 1 species